UCUUCUAGUUUUCUGGUUUCUAUGGACCGAAAGAAAUGAUGCAAAGCAUAAGGGUGUUCGCAUGAGAUCAAGACGAAUCAUAAGGAGGGUAUACCUUAUGAUCUCACUCCUUCACAUUGGAGGAUUAUUUCGAUCACUAAAUUAGCACUAUGACAUACAUAUUGCUCCACUUUUUGGGAUUACUAUGACCCUCCCUUCAUCUCCUCUCCCUAUUAUGGUUUGGU
rnacentral:lncRNA from 1 species